UCAGGAUGAACGCUGGCGGCGUGCUUAACACAUGCAAGUCGAACGGUGAAGCCAAGCUUGCUUGGUGGAUCAGUGGCGAACGGGUGAGUAACACGUGAGCAACCUGCCCUGGACUCUGGGAUAAGCGCUGGAAACGGUGUCUAAUACUGGAUAUGAGCUCUCACUGCAUGGUGGGGGUUGGAAAGAUUUUUCGGUCUGGGAUGGGCUCGCGGCCUAUCAGCUUGUUGGUGAGGUAAUGGCUCACCAAGGCGUCGACGGGUAGCCGGCCUGAGAGGGUGACCGGCCACACUGGGACUGAGACACGGCCCAGACUCCUACGGGAGGCAGCAGUGGGGAAUAUUGCACAAUGGGCGGAAGCCUGAUGCAGCAACGCCGCGUGAGGGAUGACGGCCUUCGGGUUGUAAACCUCUUUUAGCAAGGAAGAAGCGAAAGUGACG
rnacentral:rRNA from 1 species